UACGAAGGGUGCAAGCGUUGCUCGGAAUUAUUGGGCGUAAAGGGUAGGUAGGUUGUCUUGUUUGUCUAAGGUGAAAUCCCACGGCUUAACUGUGGAAGUGCCUUAGAAACGGCAAGACUAGAGUCCUAGAGGGGUUUGUGGAAUUCCCGGUGUAGCGGUGAAAUGGCGUAGAGAUCGGGAGGAACACCAGCGGCGAAGGCGGCAAACUGGAUAGGAACUGACACUCAACUACGAAAGCGUGGGGAUCAAACAGG
rnacentral:rRNA from 1 species